GUCACACUAUCAUUAACUGAAUCCAUAGGUUAAUGAGGCGAACCGGGGGAACUGAAACAUCUAAGUACCCCGAGGAAAAGAAAUCAACCGAGAUUCCCCCAGUAGCGGCGAGCGAACGGGGAGGAGCCCAGAGCCUGAAUCAGUGUGUGUGUUAGUGGAAGCGUCUGGAAAGGCGCGCGAUACAGGGUGACAGCCCCGUACACAAAAAUGCACAUACUGUGAGCUCGAUGAGUAGGGCGGGACACGUGGUAUCCUGUCUGAAUAUGGGGGGACCAUCCUCCAAGGCUAAAUACUCCUGACUGACCGAUAGUGAACCAGUACCGUGAGGGAAAGGCGAAAAGAACCCCGGCGAGGGGAGUGAAAAAGAACCUGAAACCGUGUACGUACAAGCAGUGGGAGCCUCUUAAUGGGGUGACUGCGUACCUUUUGUAUAAUGGGUCAGCGACUUAUAUUCUGUAGCAAGGUUAACCGAAUAGGGGAGCCGAAGGGAAACCGAGUCUUAACUGGGCGUUAAGUUGCAGGGUAUAGACCCGAAACCCGGUGAUCUAGCCAUGGGCAGGUUGAAGGUUGGGUAACACUAACUGGAGGACCGAACCGACUAAUGUUGAAAAAUUAGCGGAUGACUUGUGGCUGGGGGUGAAAGGCCAAUCAAACCGGGAGAUAGCUGGUUCUCCCCGAAAGCUAUUUAGGUAGCGCCUCGUGAAUUCAUCUCCGGGGGUAGAGCACUGUUUCGGCAAGGGGGUCAUCCCGACUUACCAACCCGAUGCAAACUGCGAAUACCGGAGAAUGUUAUCACGGGAGACACACGGCGGGUGCUAACGUCCGUCGUGAAGAGGGAAACAACCCAGACCGCCAGCUAAGGUCCCAAAGUCAUGGUUAAGUGGGAAACGAUGUGGGAAGGCCCAGACAGCCAGGAUGUUGGCUUAGAAGCAGCCAUCAUUUAAAGAAAGCGUAAUAGCUCACUGGUCGAGUCGGCCUGCGCGGAAGAUGUAACGGGGCUAAACCAUGCACCGAAGCUGCGGCAGCGACACUAUGUGUUGUUGGGUAGGGGAGCGUUCUGUAAGCCUGUGAAGGUGUACUGUGAGGUAUGCUGGAGGUAUCAGAAGUGCGAAUGCUGACAUAAGUAACGAUAAAGCGGGUGAAAAGCCCGCUCGCCGGAAGACCAAGGGUUCCUGUCCAACGUUAAUCGGGGCAGGGUGAGUCGACCCCUAAGGCGAGGCCGAAAGGCGUAGUCGAUGGGAAACAGGUUAAUAUUCCUGUACUUGGUGUUACUGCGAAGGGGGGACGGAGAAGGCUAUGUUGGCCGGGCGACGGUUGUCCCGGUUUAAGCGUGUAGGCUGGUUUUCCAGGCAAAUCCGGAAAACUAAGGCUGAGGCGUGAUGACGAGGCACUACGGUGCUGAAGCAACAAAUGCCCUGCUUCCAGGAAAAGCCUCUAAGCAUCAGGUAACAUUAAAUCGUACCCCAAACCGACACAGGUGGUCAGGUAGAGAAUACCAAGGCGCUUGAGAGAACUCGGGUGAAGGAACUAGGCAAAAUGGUGCCGUAACUUCGGGAGAAGGCACGCUGAUAUGUAGGUGAAGUCCCUCGCGGAUGGAGCUGAAAUCAGUCGAAGAUACCAGCUGGCUGCAACUGUUUAUUAAAAACACAGCACUGUGCAAACACGAAAGUGGACGUAUACGGUGUGACGCCUGCCCGGUGCCGGAAGGUUAAUUGAUGGGGUUAGCGGUAACGCGAAGCUCUUGAUCGAAGCCCCGGUAAACGGCGGCCGUAACUAUAACGGUCCUAAGGUAGCGAAAUUCCUUGUCGGGUAAGUUCCGACCUGCACGAAUGGCGUAAUGAUGGCCAGGCUGUCUCCACCCGAGACUCAGUGAAAUUGAACUCGCUGUGAAGAUGCAGUGUACCCGCGGCAAGACGGAAAGACCCCGUGAACCUUUACUAUAGCUUGACACUGAACAUUGAGCCUUGAUGUGUAGGAUAGGUGGGAGGCUUUGAAGUGUGGACGCCAGUCUGCAUGGAGCCGGCCUUGAAAUACCACCCUUUAAUGUUUGAUGUUCUAACGUUGGCCCCUGAUCGGGGUUGCGGACAGUGUCUGGUGGGUAGUUUGACUGGGGCGGUCUCCUCCUAAAGAGUAACGGAGGAGCACGAAGGUUGGCUAAUCCUGGUCGGACAUCAGGAGGUUAGUGCAAUGGCAUAAGCCAGCUUGACUGCGAGCGUGACGGCGCGAGCAGGUGCGAAAGCAGGUCAUAGUGAUCCGGUGGUUCUGAAUGGAAGGGCCAUCGCUCAACGGAUAAAAGGUACUCCGGGGAUAACAGGCUGAUACCGCCCAAGAGUUCAUAUCGACGGCGGUGUUUGGCACCUCGAUGUCGGCUCAUCACAUCCUGGGGCUGAAGUAGGUCCCAAGGGUAUGGCUGUUCGCCAUUUAAAGUGGUACGCGAGCUGGGUUUAGAACGUCGUGAGACAGUUCGGUCCCUAUCUGCCGUGGGCGCUGGAGAACUGAGGGGGGCUGCUCCUAGUACGAGAGGACCGGAGUGGACGCAUCACUGGUGUUCGGGUUGUCAUGCCAAUGGCACUGCCCGGUAGCUAAAUGCGGAAGAGAUAAGUGCUGAAAGCAUCUAAGCACGAAACUUGCCCCGAGAUG
rnacentral:rRNA from 1 species